AUUGUGAUUUUAACAGUUUGAACCGUCGAGGAAAGUAAAGAAAUCUCGUAUAUUUCUUUCAAUGUUUUAAUCUGAGAUUAAGACCGCUAUACACAGUUGUGUAUAUCACGGCGGCCCCGCCAAUAAAACGACGGGGAGAAUUUCACUUAUAUCGGUGAAGUCCUACUUUUAUAAAAGAGGAUAAUACCGAGGGAAGCGUAAGCACCCGUAGAGACUAAAUGUGAAAUAUUUUUUGAGAAAUCAAAAGAGAAAGUUAUAGUCCAAUCCCACAAGUAAUUGUGGU
rnacentral:ncRNA from 1 species